CUCACUGAUGAAACCCUUGAGUAGGAAGUGCCGUCUUAUGCGAUAACUGACGAUUUUCUUCACCGUUAAUCUGAGA